rnacentral:rRNA from 1 species
UACGUAGGGGCAAGCGUUGUCCGGAAUUAUUGGGCGUAAAGAGCGUGUAGGCGGUCCGGUAAGUCAGCUGUGAAAGUCAAGGGCUCAACCCUUGAAUGCCGGUUGAUACUGUCGGGCUAGAGUCCGGAAGAGGCGAGUGGAAUUCCCGGUGUAGCGGUGAAAUGCGCAGAUAUCGGGAGGAACACCAAUGGCGAAGGCAGGUCUCUGGGCCGCAACUGACGCUGAGGAGCGAAAGCAUGGGGAGCGAACAGG